AGUGAACGCUGGCGGCGUGCUUAACACAUGCCUUUCGAGGGGCAGCAGCAUUUCUCUUCGGAGAGAUGGCUGGCGACCGGCGGACGGGUGAGUAACACGUAACUACUUACCCCACAGUGGGGGAUAACCCGGGGAAACUCGGGCUAAUACCGCAUAUACCCGAGAGGGGAAAGACCUUUUUUAAGGUUGCUGUGGGAUAGGGCUGCGGCGUAUCAGGUAGUUGGUGGGGUAACGGCCUACCAAGCCGAUGACGCGUAGCUGGUCUGAGAGGAUGAUCAGCCACACUGGAACUGAGACACGGUCCAGACUCCUACGGGAGGCAGCAGUGGGGAAUAUUGGGCAAUGGGGGAAACCCUGACCCAGCAACGCCGCGUGGAGGAAGAAGCUCUUCGGAGUGUAAACUCCUUUUCUGAGGGAAGAGAGAGACGGUACCUCAAGAAUAAGCUCCGGCUAACUCCGUGCCAGCAGCCGCGGUAAUACGGGGGGAGCUAGCGUUACUCGGAAUCACUGGGCGUAAAGGGUGCGUAGGCGGUUAAGUAAGUUGGGAGUGAAAUCCUAUGGCUCAACCAUAGAACUGCUUCCAAAACUGCUUAACUAGAGUCCGGGAGAGGCUGCGCGAGAUCUCGGUGUAGGGGUGAGAUCUGUAGAGAUCUGGAGGAAUGCCGAAAGAGAGGGCGUGCAGAGGGAGCGGUAUAGACGCUGAGGCACGAGAGAGUGGGGAGCAAACACGAUAAGAUACCCCGGUAGUGCACGCCCUAAACGAUGGGUGUUAGAGGUUGGUGGGACACUCCAUCACUCACGCAGAUAACGCGAUAAGCACACCGCGCGGGGAGUACGGCCGCACGGGUAAAACUCAAAGGAAUAGACGGGGACCCGAGCACGCGGUGGAGCACGUGGUGUAAUUUGAAGAUACGCGAAGAGCACUACACGGGCGCGACAUCUCCGGAGCCCCGUAGAGAUACGGGGGUGCCCUCACUAGAGGGAGCCGGGAGACAGAUGUUGCACGGCGGUGUUCAGAUCGUGUCUUGAGAGAUUGGGGUAAGUCUCGCACCGAGAGCACCCCCCGCCCCUAGAGGCUAACACAUAGGGUGAGCACUCUAAGGGGAGUGCCCGGGUAACCGGGAGGAAGAUGGGGAGGAGGUCAAGUCAUCACGGCCCCUAUGCCCACGGGGACACACACGCUACAAAGGGGAGGACAGAGAGAGAGGAGCCGGUGACGGGGAGCAAAUAAUCUAAUACAUCUCGUCACUAUUGGAUGAUGAGUAGUGCAACUAGUACUCUGCGAAGUAGGAAUAGUUAGUAAUAGUGGAUCAUCCACCACGCGGCGAAUACGUUGCUGGGUGGUGUAGUCAUCGCCCGUCACCCCACCGGAGUAGUAUUCACUCCGAAGUAGGUAUCCCAAAGAAAGAGGCGGCCUACGGUGGGUCGGGUGAGUGGAGG
rnacentral:rRNA from 1 species